GCAGAGACGUCAGUAGCGGAUCUUUUUGCUGCCGCAAAAUCGACCGCGCAACAGGCCCAAAAUGGCGCCGGUGCAGGCCCGGCGCCCAGAAGCCCGCCACAGCGCAGUGCCUCUCCAACGGAGCAUCAGGUGGGGGAUACCCCACAGAUCCUAGCUCAAUUAGCAGAGCUCAAACACUACCUGGCAGGGGAGAUACAGAAAUCCACUGCGGUCCUGCAGAAUGAGAUCCAGGCACUGGGAGUCAGAACUGCGAGACUGGAGCACAAACAGGAGGCCACAGUGGAUGCCCACAACUCAGCGGUCCUCCAGAUUAACCGCCUCACAGCUCGUAUGAGAACAGCUGAGCUGGCUAUAGAGGAUAUGGCCAACCGAUCCCGACGGAACAAUUUACGCCUCCGCGGGCUCCCAGAGACCGCCGGGGAAGGCCCACUGCAGGACCUACUCCACACCAUCC